AGAGCAGUGUCCUAGGAAGUAGGUACCCUGCCUCAAAUGGGCACUUACCACAGGUAGGCAGUGAGUGAUAUUUCUGGAAGGAUCACAUUCCCAUCUCUCUAAUAUGGGUAUAACAGUCUCAUCUGGGUAUGGAAAAAAGAUUAUUCAGAGCCUACAAAUCUGAGUAUAGGCUGUUUCACUUUCUCUGAAACUCAUCCAGUCUGACACCAGUUCACAAAGAACACCUGUGAUUCCAGUCUGAUCUAGGCAACUCUAGCUGCUUUCCCACUACCCUCAGGUUUGCCUUGUCAGCCAUGGAUAUGGAACAGAAAGACUAUGACUCGCGCACAGCUCUGCAUGUUGCUGCAGCUGAAGGUACUGAAGGGUUAAGGAGGGAAGUGUAAUCAUAAGACCCUUUCUUUUUCACCAAAAGUACCUUCAUUAUAUGUGCCCUCAAGGUUAUAGGGGCAGCAGCUAGUUUUAUCUAGACACCCUUCAGUUUGCAGCUAGACUAUUACUGAGUUGCUGCAGGGUACAAAAUGGGAAGAGGCCUUUUCCCCUCCCGUCUUGGUAAAGACCAGUGGCUAAGUGUCUGCACCAAAGGGUUCAAGACCUGCGCCUUCUCAUUUUCCUUCUGCCCGUAUUCCUAGGACACAUCGAAGUUGUUAAAUUCCUGAUCGAGGCUUGCAAAGUGAAUCCUUUUGUCAAGGACAGGUGGGGCAACAUUCCCCUGGAUGAUGCUGUGCAGUUCAACCAUCUGGAGGUGGUCAAACUGCUUCAAGAUUACCAGGACUCCUACACACUCUCUGAGACUCAGGCUGAGGCAGCAGCUGAGGCCCUGUCCAAAGAGAACUUAGAAAGCAUGGUAUGAGCACAGGUCAUGGAGAGCCCCUGCUCAAGAAAAAGCAUGAGCUGGCCACACAUGUAAUCCAUAACCACCAAAAAUACUAUGGAGAGCUACACUGCUUCAGUGGGGACCAAGCAGUCAUUUGGUGACUUAGGCUAGUGCUUUCUAUGGGAGUCAAAAUACCCCAUUCCCUCAGCAGACAGAGUACAGAGAAGGGCCUCAGAGGACACCUGCAGUAGAGCUAUCCAGAGAGAAUGGGCUUCAAGGUACAGCCUAAUGGCUUGCCCCACUCAAAACCAUCCCAGCUCUUCACCCAGGUCUCUUCCUCUCCCUGAAGAAACCAUCAUGCGAGAGAUACUCUGGUGGAGGGACUCUAGCUACCAUGCACAUGUACAUAUCCACAGAAUAUGGGACGUGGGAAUGGCUAUAUACAUGGCUUUAGUAGUCUGGAGAGAUCUACUCCCCUUGGCCAGGACAUGCUGCUGCUACUGCUAACAGCCAAUUUUAUAGACAGAGAAAGUAUUUUGUGUUCAAAUAAACUUUAAUUACCAAAUCA
rnacentral:sRNA from 1 species